UUUUCCUGGAUCUCUCGCCUAUAUACAUUUAAACAGCUCUUUAAAUUAUGUAUAUAUUCGAUU
rnacentral:antisense_RNA from 1 species